CAGCCGCCGCGGGAAUACGUAGGGUGCGAGCGUUAAUCGGAAUUACUGGGCGUAAAGCGUGCGCAGGCGGUUAUAUAAGACGGAUGUGAAAUCCCCGGGCUCAACCUGGGACCUGCAUUUGUGACUGUAUAGCUAGAGUACGGUAGAGGGGGAUGGAAUUCCGCGUGUAGCAGUGAAAUGCGUAGAUAUGCGGAGGAACACCGAUGGCGAAGGCAAUCCCCUGGACCUGUACUGACGCUCAUGCACGAAAGCGUGGGGAGCAAACAGGAUUAGAUACCCCAGUAGUCCCUGUCUCUUAUAA
rnacentral:rRNA from 1 species